rnacentral:rRNA from 1 species
UACGGAGGGUGCAAGCGUUAUCCGGAUUCACUGGGUUUAAAGGGUCCGUAGGCGGAUCUGUAAGUCAGUGGUGAAAUCUCACAGCUUAACUGUGAAACUGCCAUUGAUACUGCAGGUCUUGAGUAAGGUAGAAGUAGCUGGAAUAAGUAGUGUAGCGGUGAAAUGCAUAGAUAUUACUUAGAACACCAAUUGCGAAGGCAGGUUACUAUGUCUUAACUGACGCUGAUGGACGAAAGCGUGGGGAGCGAACAGG